CGGCUCUCGCAUCGAUGAAGAACGUAGCGAAAUGCGAUACUUGGUGUGAAUUGCAGAAUCCCGUGAACCAUCGAGUCUUUGAACGCAAGUUGCGCCCGAAGCCAUUUGGCCGAGGGCACGUCUGCCUGGGCGUCACGCAUCUCUUCGCCACCCCCCCCCCCCCCCAACAUC
rnacentral:rRNA from 1 species